AGAUCUCAAAUCAGGCAGGAUUACCCGCUGAAC
rnacentral:rRNA from 1 species